UACAGAGGGUGCAAGCGUUGUUCGGAAUUAUUGGGCGUAAAGCGCGUGUAGGCGGCUUUGCAAGUCAGAUGUGAAAGCCCCGGGCUCAACCUGGGAAUUGCAUUUGAGACUGCGUAGCUAGGGUGCGGAAGAGGGAAGCGGAAUUUCCGGUGUAGCGGUGAAAUGCGUAGAUAUCGGAAGGAACACCAGUGGCGAAAGCGGCUUCCUGGUCCAGCACCGACGUUCAGGCACGAAAGCGUGGGGAGCAAACAGG
rnacentral:rRNA from 1 species